rnacentral:rRNA from 1 species
AACGUAGGUGGCAAGCGUUAUCCGGAUUUACUGGGCGUAAAGGGUGUGCAGGCGGGGUUGCAAGUGGGGUUUGAAAUCUCCCGGCUUAACCGGGAGGGGUUAUGCCAGACUGCAAUUCUAGAGGACGAGAGAGGGGGGUGGAAUUCCGGGUGUAGUGGUGAAAUGCGUAGAGAUCCGGAGGAACCCCAGAGGCGAAGGCGGCCCCCUGGCUCGUACCUGACGCUCAGACACGAAAGCAUGGGGAGCAAACGGG